UACGAAGGGGGCUAGCGUUGCUCGGAAUCACUGGGCGUAAAGCGCACGUAGGCGGACUCUUAAGUCGGUGGUGAAAUCCUGGAGCUCAACUCCAGAACUGCCUUCGAUACUGAGGAUCUCGAGUCCGGGAGAGGUGAGUGGAACUGCGAGUGUAGAGGUGAAAUUCGUAGAUAUUCGCAAGAACACCAGUGGCGAAGGCGGCUCACUGGCCCGGUACUGACGCUGAGGUGCGAAAGCGUGGGGAGCAAACAGG
rnacentral:rRNA from 1 species